rnacentral:rRNA from 1 species
AGGGACCCUGAGUGAUGAUGCUUUGCAUCAUCUUUUGCUGAGAGCAAAAAUCUCAGCGAAUAAGUGGUGGGCAAUACCUGUGCCAGCCGCCGCGGUAACCCAGGAGCCACAAGUGGCAACCACCUUUAUUGGGCCUAAAGCGUCCGUAGCCGGUUCUGUAAAUUUUCUGUGAAAUCGUUGCGCUUAACGUAACGGCGUGCAGAAAACACUGCAGGACUUGGGACCGGGAGGAGUCAGAGGUAUUUUGGGGGGAGCGGUAAAAUGCUAUAAUCCCCGAAGGACCACCUGUGGCGAAGGCGUCUGACUAGAACGGAUCCGACGGUGAGGGACGAAAGCUAGGGGAGCAAUCCGGAUUAGAUACAACCUUUUUCUUUUAGAAAAAAAAAGCUUGACCAAAAAGAAAUGCGCCGCAGGCGCGGUGGGCAAGCCCACAAAUGAAAUUACGAUUGCAAAAAAUAUUACUGCGAUUUCAGCUGUAAUGUGAAAAAGGUUGCUAAUUACCCGAGUAGUCCUAGCUGUAAACUCUGCGAGCUAGGUGUUACGUAAUCUUAGGGAUUACGUGGUGUCGUAGCGAAGGUGCUAAGCUCGCCGCCUGGGGAGUACGGUCGCAAGGCUGAAACUUAAAGGAAUUGGCGGGGGAGCACUACAAGGGGUGCGGCGUGCGGUUUAAUCCAAUUCAACACGGAGAAUCUCACCAGGAGCGACGGCAGGAUGAAGGACAGUCUAACGGGCUUUCCUAACGAGCCGAGAGGUAGUGCAUGGCCGUCGUCAGCUCGUGCCGUAAGGUGUCCUGUUAUUGUUUUUGUGGAAUUAAAUUCUGCGAAAAUAACAGAUAGUCAGGCAACGAGCGAGACCUGCACACACAAUUGCUAACGAGUCAGCAAUGAUGAUCGAGCACAUUGUGUGGACUGCUCUAGAAAUGGAGAGGAAGGCGCAGGCUACGGUAGGUCUGUAUGCUCCGAAUCUUCUGGGCUACACGCGCGCAACAAUGGUAGGAACAAUGGGAUGCAACACAGAAAUGUGAAGCUAAUCCUCGAAAUCCUAUCCUAGUUCAGAAUUGUGGGUUGGAACUCACCC